UACGUAGGGGGCAAGCGUUGUCCGGAUUUAUUGGGCGUAAAGGGCGUGUAGGCGGCCUGGUAGGUCGGUUGUGAAAACUUGAGGCUUAACCUCGAGACGUCGACCGAAACCACCUGGCUAGAGUCCGGAAGAGGAGAGUGGAAUUCCUGGUGUAGCGGUGAAAUGCGCAGAUAUCAGGAAGAACACCCGUGGCGAAAGCGGCUCUCUGGAACGGUACUGACGCUGAGACGCGAAAGCGUGGGGAGCGAACAGG
rnacentral:rRNA from 1 species